AAUCACAUCCUCCCAUAGGAACCAGUGGUCACCCCACCCCGUUUUCCCUACAUGGCCUGCCUCCCACAGUUUCUGCUUUACUCUUUUGCUGAGUGCAAGCUUCAUGUGGCCAUGUGGCUUGCAGUAUCAUCUUCCCUGGCCUGUUGCCAAGCCUUAGAUACUCCUUUCUAGCAACGUAAAGUAGACCAAGACAUUGUUCAAACUGGGAACGGUGAGGUGACACUGUCUUAUGUUUUGAAUUCCCAAGGGCUAUCACAGAAAAUGAAAGAAAAUGAAGACUUACUUGAAAACUAUGGCCUCUGAUAUUUAGGUCAGUAGAUGGUAAUUAGAGUGGUUACAGGAAGGGUGAUGUAAAAGGAGACGGUGUGGGUUUCAAGAGGGAGGGGAUUUUGGAGUCAUGGUAAGAAGGCAAAGAUCUGAAAGUGGCAAUAAGAAACAAAAAGACUGUCAGCCAUCCCUUCUGGAUUCAAGAAAUAAAAAAGAGAGAUAAUUGUGGCUUUUCUUUGAACUUUAUAACCUGCUAUUAAGCUGUUUGCUUUCUCAAUGUCACUUGUUUCCCUAACGCAUACAUCAGACUUGAAGGAAAUUUGUAUUCCUUUACAGGAGGCUGCCUUUCUGAAGGAGUCCUCUUCUAAGGACUGAGUAGAGGAAGCUGUGAUUUAUACCUUACAAA
rnacentral:lncRNA from 1 species